rnacentral:misc_RNA from 1 species
GUAUCUUCAAGCUCAAAGGGAAGCUGUGUGUAUAUUCAGGGAAUGAAUUCUGAGGAAAAAUAAAUAAAUGGAGUUGUUCAAGUUUAUUAAGGACAUCGAAUCUUGGAAAACAUAUAUUCUCUGGUAUUUGUUCUCUGAAACGGACUUGAAGGUUUUUAAGAUUAGGAAACCUUUUGAAAAUAUCCUCCGUGUCUUCUGAACCAAGAAGGUAGAACUUACGUAAUGUUGUCAAAUUUUCUAACCUUAAAUCCUCAUCUAACACAGUGAUGAC